GCUUACUUUCGAACAUCAUGACUAUGUAAAAAACUAAAUCCUUACGCUCAUUCCAUUCAUAUCACGCAUAAGUCGAGUUAAACUUGAACCUGGUUGAAAGCUGUAACACUGGCACAACCAUGAGAAUGAAUGCACAGGUAAUGCGUCACUUCUGAGUCACUAAUGGCAAACGUGCUUUGAAGUCACUGCUUAAAUGUAGACUAACACAAACUCGCUUCUGCAACUGAGGUGCCACGAUCUUAGGCAUGCCGCUUGGCUCCAGCAUGCAUAGUAUGCAAGAACCGGAGUUUGGAGUCGGAUGAUAAAGCUAAAAUAAUGAUGCAGUGAUAACACCAGCAGCAGCUAAAUUUACCAGGAUUGCCAACUGUGGUAUCAUAGGAGGUGAAGUAGCUACAGUGCAUUGGGGUUCGCAGAGAAUGCUUGGCAUUAAUAAGCGGCCUUGCUCAAUGAUGACAGUGUCCACUGUGUGAAAAUCUUUUACAAUAAAAUCAUUCAUUGCAAGACUCGUGGAAAGUCUCCCUCAGAUAUAAAUUGGGAUAUAUGAGAAAGUCUCUGUGCACAGUUCCGGCUGUUCAAGCAGCAAGGGUUGCUUAUGGCAAACGCAAGGACACACAAGAAAGCCUAAACAUUAAGCGGCACUGUCAUGUGACUGCUGACCUGUCACAGCACGUCGCGGCUUAACACGAUGCGGCUACAGUGAAUAGCCACGUAGAGUUUAUGAUGAACGAAGUAAAACGGCCUAACCCAGAUGUGAUAAAGCUCCAUGACUCAAUGCUGCAAACUCGACCUGCUAGGCAGCAAUGGAUAAAGGAAAUGUGGCCGCCAACAGGAGAUGUGCUACACAAAUACCCAGCUUUGGCAAAUGCCGAAAUGGUGAGCAUAAACAACUGUUGUAUUUCUGUUGCAGGCAAUGCUUAAUUAUUCAACUGGAAUCUAUCUAUGUAAGACUGUUAAGCCAUUUUCAGUUGUUUAUAUGUUAUGAGUAUUGGCUGGUAAUUAUUUACAAAUUUUGCCAUCAUUCUAGCUUCACGAGGAGUUCACCGCCCUCACUGGGGUAAAGUUGGAACAAAAGAUUCUGCAGUUUAUUAACCAGUAUGGGAACCGCCUUUUUGAACUUGCAAAAUGUCAGCGGUCUUCAAAAGAGGCUACCGCAGGAAUUGAAGCUGAACUUGACAAGUUGGAAGGUGAUGAGAAGAAAUGUACGUAUACAGGCUUGCCAGCUUUUCCAUUUUUUCCAGGGGACAUCCAUAUUUUUGUCUUUCUCGUAUGAGUAUGGCUGCAAAUACCACAGGCGUGCCCAGGCUUGCAUUUACGUGAUGUAUAAGUGAUUUGUGUUCAUUGUGUUUGUCAUUGCCUAACAAACUUUUGGGCAACAGACCGCUUUGCAGUUGGCGUAUUUGAGCUGCUGCCAUUUCUCCUCAAGGAGACACCUAGAUUUCUGCAGGGACCGGACACCUGCCCUGCCCUUUCAUUCAAGGGCGCGUGUGCUGCUAGGGCGACCGACGUCAUUGCUAGUUUCGAAGCGUUUCGCGUAGACGCGGUAGAUGACG